rnacentral:lncRNA from 1 species
UUUCAAAAAAAAAUCGCCAUUAACGUUCACAUACAUGCAAAAAAAAAAAAAAAAUCUAAAACAUGAUAGAUUUGAUAUAUCGCAUGUAAUCUCGUUAAAAGAUGUAUCAUGACCACGAAAUCAAUCAAAAAAAGCUCUGAUACCAAUGUUGAACGCAGCGGAAGUAUUCGUUCGUACCUUUUGCGAAGGCGAUUCGCGCAAUAGCGCGAUGAGCCCGGAUCGUUUAGAUUGAUUCACGUGUCCUCGGAUCGUCCUUGAAUGUCUUCUCACGCUCCAAACUCGCGGUGGAUCAAACUACAAACGAGCACGAUCGCAAAUCCACCGUUCAAGUCCCUUUAGAAUAAUAGGUCAAUGGAGGAUGUGGUUUCUCUCUAUUAUUUUCUUAUUCUCUCUUUUUCCGUUCUUUCCGUGUAUUGCGUUACAUGUGGGAUCGCCCGUCUAUUUAUAAGGAAUUCCAAAAUCCUAAUAGCAUUAGAGAUAAGGCCAAAUCGAUUAUUAUUUGUUAUCCUAAUAUGACUAGGAUUUUUCUCUAACUAACUUUCCAAUUUGAAAGCGAGAUUAAUCCUAAUCCAAUUAGAUAACAUAAUAUCCGUCGGAUCGAACCCGCUUAUGGGCGUACCCGAUUCGAUUUAACCGAAUGCCAACAGAGGGCUUAAUUGAACUUUUGGCUCUCAAGAAGCUUCUUCGCAAUUAAUGUUCCAGUAUAUUAAUUUACGAUAGCCAUUGUUCUUUUCUUAAAAAAUUAUUUAACAAAAGAUAAGUUUCAAUUGAAGUUUUGCUUAUCCAACUGCAAGCUUAUUUUGUAGCUUCCUGGCUGGUGGAGAAGUUCUAAUUCUUCUCCUUAUCCUUAUCAAAUACUUCUCUGUUCUAAUUCUUCUCCUUAUCAAAUACUUCUCUGUUUCUCAAAAUAAACUAUGUUCAAAACAGGAGAACCACAUUAGAAAGUAAGGUCGUCUUUUUUUUUUUUUUUUUUUUUUUGAGAGAUAGAUAGCAUGCUAUCGCUUUGUUUAUUUUAUUUAAAAAUAAACUUAGCUAGAAAUAUAAAUCAACUAGCAUUCGAAUGUGAGAUCUUGAAUACCAACCAUUAAGUUUUUUGACACAGAGAUUGUCGGUCAGAAAGUAAGGACAUCUUAAAAUUAAAUUAUAUUGUGUG